UACAGGAGGUCUCAAGCGUUGUUCGGAUUCAUUGGGCGUAAAGGGUGCGUAGGCGGCGCGGUAAGUCGGGUGUGAAAUCUCGGGGCUCAACUUCGAGCUGUCGGUGGAAACUAUCUGGCUAGAGUCCGGAAGAGGAGAAUGGAAUUCCUGGUGUAGCGGUGAAAUGCGCAGAUAUCAGGAAGAACACCCGUGGCGAAGGCGGUUCUCUGGGACGGUACUGACGCUGAGACGCGAAAGCGUGGGGAGCGAACAGG
rnacentral:rRNA from 1 species